rnacentral:rRNA from 1 species
UAAGUUAAAGGGCCGCGGUAUAUUGACUGUGCAAAGGUAGCAUAAUCAUUAGUCUUUUAAUUGAAGGCUGGAAUGAAUGGUUUGACGAAACAUUAACUGUCUCUGUGUAAUAAAUAUAAUUUAACUUUUGAGUUAAAAGGCUCAAAUGAAUAUAAAAGACGAGAAGACCCUAUAGAUCUUUAUAUAAGGGUAUAAUUGUUUUGUUUAGAAGUGGUUUUAGCAAUUGUAUUGUUAUAUUUUGUUGGGGUGACAUGAAGAUAUAAGUAACUCUUUAUAAUAGUAACAUUGAUUUAUGAGUGAUUGAUCCGUUAUUAACGAUUAUAAGAUAAAGUUACCUUAGGGAUAACAGCGUAAUUUUUUUUGAGAGUUCUUAUCGACAAAAAAGAUUGCGACCUCGA